CCUUUAGGGCCUAGCCCUCUCCCUUUUUAGUCCCAAAUAUAGUUCAGUAAAUUAGGCCUACAAUAAUUUUAAUUUUUUUUUACUUUUUAUAAUGGGUGAAAUUAUUAUGUAUGUGGGAAAAUAGGACAAUGGGUGGAUCUUGCAACUCUCUUACCCAAUUUGAUUCCUUUUUCUCCAUUAUGACUUAUAUAACAAAAUACAUGAACACCAAAAUUUAUUUAAACUAUUUAGACAAAGAGGGUUUGAACUCGU
rnacentral:lncRNA from 1 species